rnacentral:rRNA from 1 species
UCUAGCAUGUGCGCGAGUCAUUGGGACUUUUUUUCAGGAAAGCCCAGAGGCGCAAUGAAAGUGAAGAUCGGCCUUUUCGGCUUGAUCGAGGGAGGAUGGCUCAUUGUUAUUUUUUUUAUAACGACGGGCUCGCACUCCCGGGGCGUCUCGCGCUCAUUUCGAGCGGAGGCGCACCCAGAGCGUACACGCUGGGACCCGAAAGAUGGUGAACUAUGCCUGGUCAGGACGAAGUCAGGGGAAACCCUGAUGGAGGUCCGUAGCGAUUCUGACGUGCAAAUCGAUCGUCGGAACUGGGUAUAGGGGCGAAAGACUAAUCGAACCAUC